rnacentral:pre_miRNA from 1 species
UGGCAGUGUAUUGUUAGCUGGAUGGAUAUCCAAAUGGCACCAGCUGACAUUCAGCUGCCAGC